ensembl:lncRNA
GUGCCUGAUCACCACAAGUGGCGUUCUGGCUGCGCACUGUUGACUGCGCACUGUUGGAGACGGACGCCCCGUCUCGCGCAUGCGCAUUUCAUGCGCAUGCGGAUCGAGGCAUGCCUUGAUAAGCUGCGCACUGUUGACGUUCUCAGUCAACAGUGAGCAGCCAGAACGCUGCAUGUGGUGAUCCGGGCACAAUAUGUGAAAUUGUCCCCGGGUGUGACACGCCACGGCAGGAAAUGAAGCACUGAAGAAAGACUGGAUUUAAAUGAAACCAUUAGGAGGAUUUUAUAACUUGAAGAAGUCCGGGGGGGUGUGGUCGGGGACCACCUCCAUCGGGGCCCCCACCAGGUUCUGCUGUAGGGGGGCAGAGCUCCACCUCAGCCUGUUCGGCCCCCAGACACUCCGGCACCAGUCCCCGCAGGAAGGCGUGGAGCGCCAGGGCCUCUCGUGCAGCCGCGGGGGAAUUCCGGGUAGCCGCGUUGGGUCAUCAGCUGGACAUCAGCAGCAUAGACCCCCCAGGCUCUCCUCCUCCUUGCGGCGUUGGGAAGCCGGCAACUGCCGGCUCUGGUUGCGGAAGACCCGCUCACUGAACCGCCUCUCCAGUGCUCAGAUCAGGGCCUGAAGGUCUCGCUGGGCUGCUUGGUCCAGGUCGAGCAGCACCCGUGCUGCCGUCCCCUCCAAGGCCAGCGCAAGGUGGAUGACCGCCUCCUCGGCACCCCAGCAGUUGUGCCACUCUGCAAGCCGGAACUGGGCCAGGUGAGGCUCCAGUGCCGUUGCCCGAGAGCACUCCGGCAGCCUAACCGCUGUCCAUGCCACCAGGGGGCGGUAGGCAGCUGCUAGUUCUCCAGCCAUUCCGGUCUUGGCCAAAGGGGGGCGCUGCACUCCCAUAACGCAGGGUGCGUCGUUCUCCAUUGGCUCGACCGUCGGUCUCGAGUCCCUCCUCGCGUGCGGAGGCCACAUCCAAUCUAAUGCACAAAAGUAUUUUAUGUGGAAAAAAUGACUUAUGCCUAUUGUUGGGGAAAAUAAACAUUCAUUCAUGUUUAUUGAGAUCGUAGUCGUGCUUAAUAUUUUCUAGGUUAGUUUGACAUCUUCAAGUUAUAAAAUCCUCCUAAUGCUUUCAUUUAAAUCUACUCUUUCUUCAGUGCUUCAGUGCAGGGUUCUGCAUAGCGUGCCUGCCUGAGAUCUAUUUGAGUUCAAUGUAGGUGUACUUACAAGUAUACUUAACUGAUCUUCCUUAAAGGUUAUUUGCAAUAUAUUUCCGGUAAAGUGUAUGUGCGUCUUUGAUGCAACCGGCACGGUUUCGCACAGUGCGCCUGCCGUGGUUAUUACUUGUAUACUCUGGCAGUUAUGUUUCUGCUGUUUCACAUGUGCAUGCAGUGCUGAAAUAAGCAUUUUCAAACGAAUACUUCCAAUCUAAUGCACAAAAGUAUUUUAUGUGCAAAAAAUGACUUGGGCAUAUUGUUGGGG